GAAAAGACAUUAAUAAAUUCACUGGAUAUGUAUUUUCGAGAUUGAUAGCAUAUGCCGGCGGGAAACCUCUCGAGAAAGGCGAAAAGGAGAAGGAAAUUAAAGCCCCAUAUGUUAAAAUUUCAGGCCAAAAAACAAGCUAUGACUGCGCUAUUUACGUAAUGAAGUGGCUUGAGUUAAUAGAGCCGGAAAACAUUAAAAAGGGGAAGUAUGAAUGGGAUAACUGGACACAGGAGGAGGUGGACCACUACAGAGUGGAA